UACGUAGGGUGCGAGCGUUAAUCGGAAUUACUGGGCGUAAAGCGUGCGCAGGCGGUUUUGUAAGUCAGAUGUGAAAUCCCCGGGCUCAACCCGGGAACUGCGUCCGAUACUGGCAGGCUUGAAUUCGGGAGAGGGAUGUGGAAUUCCAGGUGUAGCGGUGAAAUGCGUAGAUAUCUGGAGGAACACCGGUGGCGAAGGCGGCAUCCUGGACCGAUAUUGACGCUGAUGCGCGAAAGCCAGGGGAGCAAACGGG
rnacentral:rRNA from 1 species